CUUUUGUUAGGGGACUCUGCACAAGAAGGGCUCCUUCCCGCUGGAGAAGGGCUUCCUAUUGACAUGGCACCCGCACCAGAAAGAGAGGCCUCUGUUUUCUUUCCUUCUGUUGGGGGCCGUCCUGAGCUAUUUGGAAGUGGCUCAAGAACUGGAGAACUUCGACCUUGAAGUAGCAGGAGGAGGAAAAUCAACGAGCAGAGAAUUCAGAGGGAAAAAAAUGGUCAAGUGAGAGAGAAGAACUGGAAUGACACAUGGGAGCAAGGGGAGAGCCACUGGGCACCGACUCCAGGAGAACUGGCAUCAGAGAGAAGGUGCUGACCCCCGGAGGAGGCUGGCCAGGGAGGAGGAAUGCGGAGAGCCUUGGAGACCAGAGAGGAAUCUGAGUGGGGGCCAAGACCAAGACCCGUAACUUUGUAUUUUGAAACUCACCCAAAACUUGGUGUCCCCAAGAAAAGUGAAGGUCCAGGAAGUUCACUCAUUUAUUCAGUUAACUAGGGUGACCAACCACCCAGAUUUGUCCAUGACUGCUCCACUUUUAAACCUGAAAGCCCAAUGUCCCAAGAAACCCUUCAGUUCUGGAGAAACCAGGACAGUCCGUCACCUUGGUUAACAAAUGCUCCCCGAGCAAGUAUAAGGGAUGAUACGGAGAUCAAGAUACACAGGGCAGGCUUCCAUGCAACCCACAGCCUGCAGGAUGCAUUACAAGUGCUUCAAACCUGUGCUGCCGGGGGGCCAGGGUGUAGUUCAGAGGAAGAGUGCUUGACUAGCCUGCACCAAGCCCUGGCUUCAACCCCCAGCACAGCAAAAAUAAAUAAAUAAAUGAAGCAAUGAUA